AGCUGGGCUGUAAGGGUCUGCAAGAGCUUCUGUUGGAGCUGGGGAGCUGCCAUCAUCCUUUGUCUUGCAGCUGUUCCUACAAGGGUAGAGAACGAUGGGUCCUUCAGUGAAACUGGCAUGCUCUGAGGCUGGUAUUUCUGAGUUCAGCAGCAGUAAGGCAACUGAGCAACAACAGCUCUCUUGUGUUUUGUUCUUCUAAGGUCUUGGAGCUGCCUGUGUGGAAGGCAAAGGUGUUGAUCACAGCCCAGAGAACAUUUAAAUUCAUUCAGGAUAAAGCUUUAAAUGGAGAAAUGUGGCCAGGUUUUGCACUUCAUGUGGCAGAUUAAUGUCCCACACUGCCACACAGGACUGUAACUCUGGAAAAGAAGAAAAUGUAAAAAUACUGAAAGCUGCAAAGAGAUGAAUUACUGUGUUAAAUAAAAAUGGUUUGGCUUA